AGUAUGUUGGCAACUAUGGACUUAGUGCCUGUUGUAUAAACCUUGGCGACGAUGUGACUUCGUGCCUAUUUGACAUAAAUUGUUGAGGGAAAACAAUGUUGUCAUCCAGGUGUUUGUUUUGUUUGACAUAAAUUGCUGAGGGAAAGCAAUGUUGUCACCAUACUGAUUGCUUUAUGUCAGGUGGUCUUAUUUGACAUAAAUUGCUAAAGAAAGCAAUGUUGUCACCUAUUUUGGUUGUUUAUUUGACAUAAAUUGCUAAGGGAAAAACAAUGUUGUCACCCCGGUGUUAACCUUAUUUGACAUAAAUUGCUGAAGACAGCAAUGUUGUCACUUUAUUGGUCGUUUUGUGUUAGGUUCUCUUGUUUGACAUAAAUUGCUGAGGAAAGCAGUGUUGUCACCAUGUAGGUUGACUUAUUUGACAUAAUUGCUGAGGAACCCUCGAAGCAAAGUUGUCACCCCUAAUGAAAAUCCUUAGGCUAGGCCCCUUGUGAUAGUUGUUUUAGGGACGUAAGGUAAGGAUAACGGGUAUGGGUAAAUAGGGUUGUUUUAGGUGGAUGAAAUUAAUAAAUUAUUUGUUGAUUGAUAAACUUAAAGAGUUUAUUAUUUAUUGUGGGUUAAAAACCCUAUAUGCUCACCAGGCUUCCAUGCCUGACCCACUCAGCUCUUUAUAUUACGGGUAGUGGACUCCAAGCAUAGUCGGAUGAUGAUGAUGAGUGAUUUUGG
rnacentral:lncRNA from 1 species